AAGGAUGUGAUCUUAUAUGCCAUAUUGAGAGAUCAUCCUGUGGCUAAGGGAACAAUUAUUUCAACUAAUCCAAGCUCAGUGCUAGGAGGAGUUGCUCUAGGAAAGCAAUAUUGUGAGGUUGUUGUGAAUGUUGUGCUGAAAAGGGAUGCCCUUCUACCUCGCCCAUAUGGUUAUUUGGAGGAGAUGGGUGAUGCUGAUCGGAUGUCGAUCGCAUGGCCGUACAAGAGACUAAAGGUGAGCAAGACAUCAAAAUCAUCCCAGAGUGCUACAG